UUAUAUAAGAAUGAUCUUUCUGAAUAUAUUAGAAACUAAGUCAAGGUCAUAGAAAGAUACUGUAGAAGAUAUGAAAAUGUUCUGAAGUCUAAAAACCUAUAAAAGAAGAAAAAAGAAGAAGAAUAUGUUCUACUUUAUUUAAAGAAAAUUGAAUUAGUAAGAAUUAAAUAAUGCAACAUUCCGGGCAGCUAAUGUUAGG